UUAUGUUACAUUUUUAAGUUGAGGAAUUGUAAUGUUACAACUAGAUAAGUUUAGGGAUAGUUGUCAAAAUUUAUCUGAGGAAAAAGUGACCUGGGAAGUUUUCUGCAAUUGUUUUUAGAAAAAAAUUUUGAGUCUUCUGCCUUUUAAAAAUUGUUAUUAGAGCCUAUUUCAUAUUCAAGAAUUAGGGAACUUUCUAUUUGAUUACAUGAAAAAUUAUUGGUUGUUUAUGCUGCUUUUAAGAGUACUAACAUUGUAUUUUGUUGCUAUGACAAUAAUUCUCAAAUCUUGUGGCACUUGCAGGGCUUUGGCUAAUGUGGCUGUUAAUGGAGGAGAUCAUCGCUGAUUGUUU
rnacentral:misc_RNA from 1 species